CGCACGUCACGGCGGAGACGACACCCGGCGGAGGGUGGUGCGCGCAGGCGGACGGGGCCCCAGUCCCGAAAUAGUUCAGACGCGUAAGUGCAUCGCGGCCGCGCACGGAGGCGCACGCAGGCGUCUGCGCCGCCCCCCUCGCAGCGCCCGGGUGGGGACGGGCUGUGCGGAGCGCGGCUGCACACCGGGCUGUGCGGGACGGACGGGCGUGUGCGGGGGUGCGCGGCGAGGCCCCGCUCGCUCCUUCCAGCCGGCAGCGCGGAGGCGGCGGGAAAGGGCUGGAGAGACCCGGGGCGGGGGCAGGUACCGGUUACCGGUCCUAAAACCGGCAGCGGUGACGUGCUUGGGACCGUGGACCUGUGCACACGGCAGCCUUGUGGCACGGCAGCGUCAUCCUCCCUCACCUGCCCCUUCUCUUCCCCUUUCUGCACUUUCUUCCCCUUCUCUCCGCUUUUCUGCCACUUUGUGGCACGUUGUCCCGGGCUUGUUACCAACUCGUUACAGCAGUGAUUUCCUUUUUUGACUCGGUGCCGUACAGCAUCUAGAGCAGUGGAGCCCGGUCCCCGGUAGCCCAGGUAGACGUCUGCUGCCGCAGUAAAUACUAACAGACAACAAACGCAGACGACUGCUUCCCGAGUGCCGCCUGGGAAGCGCGGGGAGCGCUGGGCGGGAGGGACUUUCUGGGGCGCCGAGUCCAGCCCUGGGUAACUGCGGGACCCGUAUACGCACGGGCAGUGUCAUCCUUCUAAGUGACAGCACUCUUGGAGGAAAAGUAAAGAAAAAUAUCGUUGGAGAGCACUGGAUCCUGAUGUAGGUAACUGAAUGUUGUAGCUGCAUGUGUCCUUGAAGAAACAGCAGAAGAAAAGCAAACCUUGAAACUUCCUGGUUUGACAUUUUUUUUCAAAAAGUUCUUGUUUGAAUCUAUUUCCUUUUUGUUUGGUUUGGUUAAGUGGUCUGGUUUGGGCCAAGAUUAGAUACUUACUGAUUUAAUAGAGGAUUUCUUUCAAGAAGGGGGAAUGCUGAAACUGUAUGCUAUGCUUUCACUGGAAUAGUUGAGGGAGUUUAAUCUGUUCUCUCAGUAUUUUCUGUGAUGCUGUUUUUCAGUCCUUAACAUUUUUUGUGGUUGUAACAGGUAUGGGGUUAAAUAAAUGCAUCAUGGUUUGCAAGAGGGGUGCUCCACCCAUGUGUUCUUGAAACACAGUGUACCAAAACCACUGUCUAUGAGUGUGAGAUGAGAAGGGCAAUCCAUUAAGGAAUCAUUUUUUUGGAUGUCAGGUUCAUGGCUAUUGACUUCAGCCUGCCUUGGGACACAACAAAGAGCAGCAUUUAUUCUGCUCCAUACAAUAAGGGAUGCUGCUGCUCCCACUGCAGUGGUUCGAUGUUCAGAUCUGAGCUUGAAUUUCAAAUACCUUCCAAACAAACUGGAUUGUCCCUUUUUUUAUAGGCAGCUACUUUUUCUUCCCUCCUUUCCUGCAUGCUGCUUACACAGGGUCCCGCUUCCCGGAGGGUCAGCUCCACACAGGCUGCCGACAGAUUACUGAAAUAUUGGCACCCACAUGUCAUCAUCCUCUUUUUCCUCCUCCUUCCUGGAUCAGUUAAGAAACCAGUUUUUCCUCUUAUUCCUCUCUGCUUCUUUGGUCUCUCCUCUUCUUGAGCAGGAAAACCAAAUGCUUGUGAUGAAGUAAUCCCUGUUUGUUGGCACUUGCUGCUUCAGAUAAUUUCUGUAAAAACAAACUCCCAAUGGAAGUGCUUUUCUUGAAGUUCUGUGCAAGCCAUGUUACCAAUUGAGCAACUUUUUGAUCUCUUUGAGCUUUGCGUGUAUGCUCUUAUCUGAUUUUUGUACCAACUACCACCAUUGUUUUUGUCUGUGUCGAAAUCGGUAUGCUUGAAAGCACGCAUUUUGGAAAUAAAGGGUGCAAUUUUUAAACAUUAAAUGCACAAAGUGUGCAGGUAUGUGCGCUUGCCAAAUUUAUAUGUGCUGUUACGAUCAUUGUGUACCCGUAUUAGACAAUAUGCCAGGGCAGAAUUUGGCCAUUUACAUUCAGAUAUACCAUAUGGGCAGUAAAAAGCAUAGCUUUUGCUUACAAACUCAUGUCGUGCCUGUUUUUAGAAAUCAGACAUGAAACAUUUUUUUCCCUCCUUUCUGUUGAAUCAGUUCCAAGCUUCUUGCCUUCCUGCUUUGAUGUCCUCUUUUUCACUCGUAACCAUGUUUUUCUCCAUUCUGCUUUGCAUCUUCUUUCAUUUGUCUUGAACAAAUUCCCCCUCCAAAAUUAUAGCAAACUUCUUUCUUCUUCCAAAUAUUCUUACUAAAGUAGUGUGUGUUUUGGGAAUUUUCACUGUGCUUCUGGGCUCUGCACAUGCAAAACACUUCUAUAACAAAAAUAAUAGCAUUAUUAUUUGUAUAAGAAUGCAUAAUUAGCUUGCAUAUUUUAUUACAUCAUAUGGGAUUAUCCUUAUCUAAAGUUUCUAUUCAUCUCUUCAGCAUUAUUACUGAGAACAGAUUCAUCAACAUGAAAGUAAUCGCAUUAUGGAUAAGCCGUUACAUUAACUCUAAUCCAAGAAUUUGAACAGAUCUAGGCUGGACUGUGCUGGCUUGGACCAAGCUGAUUAUGUUGUAAAACUGAAAUACUGGUUCUCAUUGCUACUGAUCAGAGGAGAGACAGAUAUGAAAUUGGCUUCUAGGUAAUGAUGUCAUCUGAACAUCUGAAAUCUUAGGCAUACAUUUGUGAAAAAGUAUGUUGCGAACACAGUCGUGGGUCAUAUUGUUAGGAGAAGACUUAAGGCACGCUGUGACAUCCUGGAAAUGCGGCUCUGAAAGUCUGCUUAGCUGUAAUGUUUUCUUGAAAUAAACAGCAAUCUUUCCUUCUACACUCCAUCACCUACAAUCCACUAUCAGGAUUCUUUUUAUUAACUUAUAUUUAUGUCUUCUGGAGUAUUUUUUAGUUCUCGGCUGUUUGUAUUCACUGAAGAUAAAGACAGUAUGUAUUUUUUUACAUUGUUAUAUAUGAAAAGCACAUAAAACCUAUCCAUUGUUUUCAAAAUGAACAAUAAUAACCGAUUCUGACCUGGAAAAUUAAAUGGCACAAAUUUGGAUAGUUUUAUUUUCUCUCUCCAGGCAGGUGCAGAGUAAUACCUCAAAAGAACCAUUAUUUUGUGCCUUUAUUCCAAUGUGUACAUAAAUGCUUGCAUAACCCGCGCACAGCUGCUGUACAAACUACUCAUGCCACAAGUAUUAGUAAUCCUAGCAGGGGAGGUUGCAUGGAAAAUUGGGGUGUGUAUGCUGAACCAUAUGUACCAUGCCCCUGAAUCAUAAAACUUCUGGUGCUGGAGCAGAGCAAUCUUUGGAGACUGUGGAUUUUACAGGCCUGUAGGAAAGCUGGAUUAUAUACAACAGCUGCACCUCACAGUUUCACUCCUGUUGAGGCUUAUCUUACUUUUGCAUAAAAGUAAGCAGGAAGCAGAAUUUGGUCCAACAUUAUCUUCCUGCAGUCUCAGCUUCUACUUUUAUUUAUAUUUCAUUUCCAUAGGAACAAUUAUUUAAAUAGUUUAUUUUGAAUACAUAUUCAAGCCACUCAAAUUGGAAAUAAGUUCUGGGCUGCCAGUUCUGAGCUGCAUGGGGUUGCAGAGAUACAGCGUGCUUUUUUUUGUCUUUGAUUCUGCCUCCAAAAUAACUUGCUGUGCGUCUGUGAUGAUUUAUAGCAAUGUUUCUGAACUUGUGAGAAGGAAGAUGGAAGUUGAAGGUUCGUUUGAUUUUCUACAGCCCCGGCCACAAACGUCCCUUCCAGAGUUGCUCACAUGAGUAUGCUUUGGCCCCAGUUCUCCAUGGUUUGAGGGACGUUCCAGCUCCCUAUCUGACGGAGGGAGGAGAUUUGCCACAUUACAAGUGGCUGCAUGAAGCAAUCUCCCAGAGCUUUAGCAGCAGAAAAUCGUUAAGCACAAGUUUAACACUGGAAGAUUUUAAAAUAAUAUGAAGGGACUGUUUCCUCUGCUGGUGCAAAUUGGCAUCGUACCAUUUGAGUAUACAGAGGUAUGUGUAUUUACACCAGCUGGGGAACGAACCCAGGUCUUUCCAGUUAUCAUAUAUAGGGGUUGGUAUUGCUGCUAGGGUUAUUUAUUACAUGUCAUAGUCUUUUUGUGGAGGAUAUUUUAUUUACAAGUGCAAUGCUGCAAUAGUUUACUCUUAUGAAACCGGGACUGCUAAGUUUUUAGUAGGAAACCUUUUUGCUUACUGAAUAGGGCUUAGCACGCACUAUCUUUGCUUUGCAAAUCGUGUCUUUUCAGCAAUCAUCCAAAGUCUUUUUUACAGUUGUCUGAGCCCCAUAGGCAAAUAUAUACUGUUAGACUAUUAAGAUAAUUUUUCAGUUAAGACAUCGUGAAACUGCAAGCAGGACAAUAGAAACAAAACCCCUUUUGUUCUGACUAAACUGUUCCUAAUGACCCCCUCUAUAAACAGUGGCACCAGCGGAGGUCUCAACAAGGCUCUUCAUUGAGUCCCCUUUCAAAAGGACAAGCGGAGCAGAACAUGGGGCAGAAACUCUCAGGGAGUUACUGCACUUCACUCCGCUUUGGUGGUCUGACCACAAGAGAGAAUCUGUUGUUUUUGUUGUUCAAGGCACCCAAAACUAAUAAUUUAGAAGCAUGAAGUUCCACAAUUAGCAUCCUAUAAAGAGUUCUAAAUAUUUGGGUUGUCAGGAAAAGAGCAGAAGGAAACUGUUUGUUUGUUUACUUAAAUCAAGGGGCUAUAAAAUGGAUCCUUAUGAAUUCCAUAUAAAUCUUCAGUAUUUUGGGGAGAGAUAAGUUACCUGUUAAGCUCAAAUGCAAAUAGGAGCAUAAAGUCUAAAGAAGGAAAGAUUUUUACAUUCCAGGAAGAUCCUUUGCAUUUCUUUUGGGCAUAAAAAAUAUUCUUUGGCAAUAGCAUGCGCAUAUCAUGAUCAGGGGAAAACUCUGUAGCAGAGUUCCCAGGUUUUUGUUGUUUAGCUUCUCGGGAAACUGAAGUUACAGUGACAACCUGAAACGACUAAAGACCGAACUCCUUUUCUGUAGGCUGUUUCAUAUAGAUAACUGUACCAUAAACAGUGUGUCUUCAUGCACUUGAGGGCUCUGGAGAUUAUGAAUCACUUCCUGAUUAGUUCUGUGCCUAUUUCUGUGUCCUGAAUACAUCUGAACAAUAGAGCAGAAGAUCUUCUAUUAAAACAAAAACCUAUCUAGA